UAAGAACAUUGUUAUUUUUUCUAAUUUGUUUUGUUUUGUUUUGUUUAUUUUUGUUUUUUUUUGUUUUUUUCAUAUAAGAUAAAAUGACUCAAAAAAAAUGUCUCCAUGUUUUUAAAUUUGACUUUUUUUUACCUUUUCUUAAAAUAUAAAAAUAUAUACAUACUUAGUCCAAUAAAUAAAGUUGUUGUAUAUAAUUUAAAAAUAUUUGUUGAUAAAGAAUUCUCUAUAAAUA
rnacentral:lncRNA from 1 species